GACAGCAGUCGCCGCGGGAAUACGUAGGUGGCAAGCGUUGUCCGGAAUUAUUGGGCGUAAAGGGCUCGCAGGCGGUUUCUUAAGUCUGAUGUGAAAGCCUCCGGCUCAACCGGGGAGGGUCAUUGGAAGCUGGGAAACUUGAGUGCAGAAGAGGAGAGUGGAAUUCCACGUGUAGCGGUGAAAUGCGUAGAGAUGUGGAGGAACACCAGUGGCGAAGGCGACUCUCUGGUCUGUAACUGACGCUGAGGAGCGAAAGCGUGGGGAGCGAACAGGAUUAGAUACCCCCGUAGUCCCUGUCUCUUAUAC
rnacentral:rRNA from 1 species